rnacentral:tRNA from 1 species
GAGACUCUAGUAAAUUAUUACAUAGCCCUGUCAGUGCUAAGUUAUAGGACCCCGCCCUAUGAGACUCA